rnacentral:tRNA from 1 species
GCCCAAGUGGCGGAAUGGUAGACGCAGGGGAUUCAAAAUCCCCCGCCUUUACGGGCGUGUCGGUUCGAGUCCGACCUUGGGCACCA